rnacentral:rRNA from 1 species
UACGUAGGGUGCGAGCGUUAAUCGGAAUUACUGGGCGUAAAGCGUGCGCAGGCGGUUCUCCAAGUCCGUUGUGAAAGCCCCGGGCUCAACCUGGGAAUGGCAUUUGAUACUCUGAGGCUGGAGUACGGGAGAGGAGAGUGGAAUUCCCAGUGUAGAGGUGAAAUUCGUAGAUAUUGGGAAGAACACCGGUGGCGAAGGCGGCUCUCUGGACCGUAACUGACGCUGAGGCGCGAAAGCGUGGGGAGCAAACAGG